rnacentral:rRNA from 1 species
AAGCGUAGCGAUACGUUGAGCUAACCUGUACUAAUUGCCCGUGAGGCUUAACCAUACAACGCCAAAG